AUACCUACCUAGCGUCGGGAUACCGUGAUCAUGCAGGCGGUUCCCCCGGGGUGCGGCUGCUCCAUUGCACUGCGGAGUGGUUGACCCUUGCGAUUAUUAUUUUUAUAUUUUACAAGUUUCACUUCUACCGUGUGUGACUUGCACACACACACA
rnacentral:snRNA from 9 species